GUGAAUCAUCGAAUUUUUGAACGCAAAUUGCGCUUCCUGGCAUCCCAGGAAGUAUGCCUGUUUGAGGGUCAGUAUUAACAAAAAAAGCGGUGGGGUUGGAGAUUGGGACGUAUCCGGAGGUUGGGCUAUCUUAACUUUUUUGGUUAAGGGGCUUAAAAUUGACAUUUUUUGCGCAUUGUUAGACGUACAUAAAUUGUUUUUUUAUUCGUC
rnacentral:misc_RNA from 1 species